UGGGGCGCUAUGGGGCGCUGUGGGGCGCUAUGGGGCGCUAUGGGGUACAGCGGGUUCCUAUGGAGUGCUAUGGGGCACUUUGAGGUGCUGUGAGACUCUGUAGGGCUUUACGGGUCCCUACGGGGUGCUAUGGGCACUGUAGGACCCUAUGGGUUGCUGUGGGGCGCUGUGGGGCGCUAUGGGGCGCUAUGGGGUGCUAUGGGGUACGGCGGGUUCCUAUGGAGUGCUAUGGGGCACUUUGAGGUGCUGUGAGACUCUGUAGGGCUUUACGGGUCCCUACGGGGUGCUAUGGGCACUGUAGGACCCUAUGGGUUGCUAUGGGGCUCUGCGGGGCGCUGUGGGGCGCUAUGGGGCGCUAUGGGGGCGCUAUGGGGCGCUAUGGGGUACAGCGGGUUCCUAUGGAGUGCUAUGGGGCACUUCGAGGUGCUGUGAGACUCUGUAGAGCUUUAUGGGUCCCUACGGGGUGCUAUGGGCACUGUAGGACCCUAUGGGGCGCUAUGGGGCGCUGUGGGGCGCUAUGGGGCGCUAUGGGGCGCUAUGGGGCGCUAUGGGGUGCUAUGGGGUACAGUGGGUUCCUAUGGAAUGCUAUGGGGCACUUUGAGGUGCUGUGAGACUCUGUAGGGCUUUACGGGUCCCUAUGGGGUGCUAUGGGCACUGUAGGACCCUAUGGGUUGCUAUGGGGCUCUGCGGGGCACUGUGGGGCGCUAUGGGGCGCUAUGGGGUGCUAUGGAGCACAGUGGGUUCUUACGUGGUGCUAUGGGGCACUGUGAAGUGCCGUGGGACUCUGUAGGGCUUUACGGGUCCCUACGGGGCGCUAUGGGGCACUGUAGGACCCUAUGGGUUGCUAUGGGGCGCUAUGGGGCGCUAUGGGGGCGCUAUGGGGCGCUAUGGGGUACAGCGGGUUCCUAUGGAGUGCUAUGGGGCACUUUGAGGUGCUGUGAGACUCUGUAGGGGCUUUAUGGGUCCCUAUGGGGUGCUAUGGGCACUGUAGGACCCUAUGGGUUGCUAUGGGGCUCUGCGGGGCGCUGUGGGGCGCUAUGGGGCGCUAUGGGGUGCUAUGGGGUACAGUGGGUUCCCUAUGGAGUGCUAUGGGGCACUGUGAAGUGCUGUGAGACUCUGUAGGGCUUUAUGGGUCCCUACGGGGUGCUAUGGACACUGUAGGACCCUAUGGGUUGCUACGGGGUGCUGUGGGGCGCUAUGGGGCGCUAUGGGGUGCUAUGGGGCUCUAUGGGGCGCUAUGGGGCGCUAUGGGGUGCUAUGGGGCACAGUGGGUUCUUUGGUGGUGCUAUGGGGCACUGUGAAGUGCCGUGGGACUCUGUAGGGCUUUGCGGGUCCCUACGGGGUGCUAUGGGCACUGUAGGACCCUAUGGGUUGCUACGGGGCUCUGCGUGGUGCUGUGGGGCGCUAUGUGGGCGCUAUGGGG